GUUGUGCCCUCAUGUCUGUUGGAUUGGGUCAUUAUAUCGUGUAGUCUAACACCAGCAUUAGGAUGACAGCAACAGUAAUCUUGCUGUCAGAAAGAUAGUUAUUAAUAUGAAACACUACUCUGUUUCUUUGUGACUAUUUGAGCUGUAGACAUAGUAUAUUAUUUGAACAAGCUCAAACUGGCUCUAAAUAGCUCUGUUCUGAGAAUACCACUAAGAUUUGCAUAGCUGGAUCUUUAGGUAGCUGUAAUGGACAUCAGUGUGACAUCAACUGCCAAAAGAUUUCCCAGCAUCGUAGAAGCAAACAAUUUUUUUUAAUCCUCUGCCUGUUUCUUUGGUGUCUGUAACCAAAAAUGAUGACCUGAUAGUAGUGAGUAAUAUAUUUUGAUCAUGACAACUCAUUUGCCAAUAUCUGGUCAAGCCAACAUUUUUUUCAGCUGUGGCGGAAAGAAAUUACGUACAUCUAGUUCUGUACUUAAGUUGAAUUUUAGAGGUACUUGUACUAACUCGAGUAUUUCCAAUUUAUGCAGCUUUAUCCAUCACAUUUCUGAGGAAAAUGUACUGAAAAUGUAUUAACAUUUACAGCCCUGCAAUAAAUUCUCCUUUCAGGAAGGCUAUAAUGUUCAGUUUUUGUUUGAACGGUUUUAGAGGGGUGUAGACUCCAUGUUUUGGUCAUUUUGGAGGCUGCUGAACUGUAUUGUUACAAAGAGGAGUUGAUUUAGUAACUUAAUUUGGAGUGUGACUUGAGGACAGUGGAGGCUGGCCAAUAGGGAGCGCAGGUGGGAAGUAUGUUUUGAUUUUUCUUUUUAACAUAAACAUUUUUAAAAUAAACAACAAUUACUUAUUUUAAGUAUGUGUGUUUAAAAUGCACAAUAAUGUGUAAUAUAUAAAAUAUAAAUCAUCAUGUUGGGGGGAGGUUCAUACCCUCUCUUUCUUUAAAAACAUUGCAGCAAAUAGCUGAAUAGCCAAUCAACGUCUUCGAAUGUGAUGUCUAAAAUAUUCAUAUUCUUUUCAGCGCAAGGCGCUCAUCAUUGUCAGAUUUGAUUGGCAGCCAAUCAAAGCAGUAAAGCCCGCCUCCUUUGAUUUGAUUGGCAGCCAAUCGCAGUAAAGCGGGCUUUACCACUUUCUUCCUGUUUCUUGAGCAGCCGGGUGAAUCUGAGUAUGAGACCGUUUAAUAUGGCGAUUAAUGGACUGUGAGAAAGCUAGCUAGCUAGCAGCGGCUGUUUUGGUGUUUUUGAAGCGGCUGCCUGUAGCGGUGCGUCUCUGUGUGUUCACGUUCAUUAUAUAAGUAGAAGUACAGAAGUAUUACCAGUUAAUGCCCACUAUAUAAAGAACCAGGUGCAACAAUACAGCUUACAAAUUAAUGCAUGUAUGAUAAAAACAAACUUCCGUCUGCAUUUGGAAACAUUUUACUUUACUUGAUACUUUAACUACACACUACUUAAGCCAUUUUUAAAUGCAGGACUUUUACUUGUAUUUGAGUAAAGGGCGAUUCAUUUAGCGCCCCCAGCACGCUCGGUCACCUGGCGUUACUGACAUCGGUGAGCGCGGUACUCCAGACAUAUUUCAUCCAUUUCACAGGAGAACUUUGGUGGAGAAGGGCUUGGCCCACAUCAACCGGACACCAAAACAGGCUAGCGAACAAGGUACAGCUACACGCGAGGCUUCUCCCGUAAUUGGAAACUACAACAGAAAGGUUUAGCUAGCCGGAUACUGUCAUGUAAAUGCAGUAUUUUGCUUCCCAUGAUGGCGGCUAAAGAUAUACUGUAACAUGGACUGUUACAGGUUAGGGACAUGAAACAUUUAUCUGAGAAGACUGGACAUGGAGAGUUGGGGAAGCUAGUCAUGCUAGGCAGGGUUAACAUCGCCUCGCGACUGGGCUGAGGAGCAGAAGAGUCUACAUCACAGGAAUCACGACGAUCAGGGGAAUACAGCUGAUCUGUGCAGCAGCAGCAGCCCACAAAGACAGGAGGACAUUUGGACAAGGAGAACAACAGCUGUGGCCAUAGUGCCAUGUGAUAGAUUCCACUCACCACACAACUACCAAGGAAGGCAGACACUGAAGUGUUUAGAUGUGGUUAUUUCACAUUCCUCAUAUUAAGCAGUAAGCUGCCCUUGCUUGUCACUAAAUAACAUGCUCAUCUUGAAAGAGGAUGCUGAUGCCAUUGUUUAGACUGAGACAUGUGAAAAUGUAAUUCUGCUGUCUGCUGCUAUGUGCACUGCCCAGUUUAAAACAAAAAGAUGCAUCAUUUCAUAUGUUGCUCUUUGACUAAGCACCGCAUCAGCGCCACUUGUUCCAGGAACACACAUGCAUACUGUACCCUCUAUCUGAGCACAUUAGGGCUGCAACUAAUGACAAUUGUCAUUAUCUAUUAAUCUGCUGAUUAUUUUCUUGAUUGUUAGGUCUAUAAAAAGUGAAAAAAGCACUUUGAAGAUGUCACUUUAGGCUCUAGGAAAAUACAAAGUGCUUGUUUUCUCUAACCAACACCAAAGAUAUUUCAUUGACUUUCAUAUUAGACAAAUGAAAGGAGCAACCAACAUAUGUUUGGAAUUUUUGCUUGGAAAAUCAUUCAAACGAUAAAACUAUUAUUAUCAAAAUUGUUGCAGAUUGUAUUUUUUUCGAUCGACAAAUUGAUUAAUCAAUUAAUCAUUGCAGCUCUGGAGCACAUUAACAAUAAGUAUCAUUUAUCUUGGUCAUAAAAUACUGUACACUAUUCUUCCAGUCAGAGGUUAGAAUUCAGCCACUUGAGAUCCAUUUCUUUAUUAUACAGCCCUAAAACAGUGUAAGAUUCUUAGAAACAUUAAGUAAAUCUUUAUAAUUUGAUGUUGUUGUAUAUAGUCCACUUUCUGCUCUGUUCUGACGGUGUACCUCUUGCGUUGCCUUUUUGCUUACUAAUGGCACCGUUUCAUGUGCUCAACAGCGCAGCCGCACACCUCUGCCACAGAGGGGCACAGGCGUAACAGUCAACAGCCUUUACAGAUGUGUGAAAAUAAAUCUGUCACUUGUUUAUGAGUUCAGUUUCAAAUGCAAAGCUGUAUUUGUGCAAAAUGCUGUUUUAUGUUUUUGGGUAAGAAUGCCUCAACUUUUUAAUACUGCCAUUAAAUAAUUACUGACUA